AGUGUGCCGAGAAACAGCUCAAUUCUGGAAGCAAACGUUCCUCUGCAGGAAAGAGCUUCUCUCCCUCUGCUUCAUUCUGCUCUGUACCACAAAGAAGAAGGAGAAAGAUAAGCAUUUGCUUGUGAGAUGACAAUGAAAAUAAGGCCCAGUGUACAGCAAAAGGGAUGUAGCAAGACAGAAGUGACUGUGACUCAGAUGUUAUCAAAGACAAGAUGAAGCCUGCCUGAGAACCCUCCUCUUAAACAGCAGGAGCCCAGACCCUGAGCAGGGAGAGAGUCAGGUCCCAGAUGGAGAUGCUGAUCAACUUCAUAGCAUCACCAUGGAGCCAGAUCUGGAAAUUCUCUAGGGGUUGCUGAACAACCCUGUCAUCCCUACCUGACCUCAGCCGCCGAGUCCCUGUGAACACUGUCCGCAAGCAAUCAUCCCGGCGGGGGGGCUUUGUUCUGCAGUCCAAGCCACCUGGAGAAGAACGUGUAAGGUGGAAGUAUGGAGAAAGAUGGCUCACAGAUACAGGAAAGCUGCAGAGGGAGCCGAGUCAGUUCCAGUGUUCAUACAGGGGCAGACUAUGGCAACUACAGCCUAAAAUGGUGAGCAAGUGGUUUCUGAGGGCUCCGUACAGAGCAGUGGCUACUGCUGAGGUGACCUGUUUGUCGGGUACCUGAUCUACUCAUUAUACACUAUCUACAGCUAUUAAAAUGUCAUGCUGGAAGGGUAAAAAAGGGUACCUCACAAGCACCAAGACCUGUGUUCAAUCCCAGAAACCGUAUGAGAAAUGCCAGGCUGAGCCUGUGCCUGUAAGUCCAGCCCAGGGGAGACAGUGGCAGCAGGAUCCUUGGAGCUCUCUGACCAGCCAGCCUACCUAUAAUGAGUGAGCUCCAAACCCAAGGGAGACCCUUUAAGGAGGGUCUUAAAGGAGCUGCAGAGUUUUCCUAAGGAUACUGCACAAGACUACCCUCUGACCUCCACAAUCAUAUGUACACGUGUACACACACACACAAACACACAAAGAAUCACCUUGAGUGAUUCAGUGUGAGCAAUGAUCAUGCAUCAAUUAAAAGUGAGAAGGCUGGGGGAUGCCUCAGUGGGCAAAGCUGCCACUGUGCAGCCUGAGAACCUAGUUGGGAUCCCCAGACCCCAUAUAAGGACAGGCAUGGUGGCAUCUAUCUGGGAUGCAAGUGCUCCUGCUGCAAGAUGGGGACAGCAGACUGACUCCUCAGAAGCCACUACAGGCUUGCCGACUUGAUGUGCAGAACAAGUAAUAGACCCUGUUUCAAACACAGUGGAAGACCAGGACUAAGACCCAAGGUUGUUCUCUGCCCUUCACAUGUGGGCUGUGAAUGUGACCUGCACCCACUCAAACAUAUGCACAAACAUACAUCAUUUUCAUACACCCACGUGCAUGCACACAGCAUGUGCACACCUCCACAGAUCACACCCACAUGAAGAUUUAUAAAGUAAAAAUAAGAUAUAUAUUUUUAAAGAUCACACAGUGAACGAGACAGUGCAGUGGGCAAUGCACUUGCUGCUUAGGAACCCGAAUGUGUUCUUUGAAAUCCUCGUAGAGGUAAAAUGAGUGAGUUAAUGCCUGAAAGUUCUCUCUCUCUCUCUCUCUCUCUCUCUCUCUCUCUCUCUCACUUAUCACACACAGACAUCUCUCUCACACACUCAUCACACACAUGUAACAUACACAUAUUACACACAUCACGCACAUAUCACACAACAAAUAAAUAAUAAUAAAGAAACAA
rnacentral:lncRNA from 1 species